rnacentral:rRNA from 1 species
AGAGUUUGAUCCUGGCUCAGGACGAACGCUGGCGGCGUGCCUAAUACAUGCAAGUCGAGCGAACAGAGAAGGAGCUUGCUCCUUUGACGUUAGCGGCGGACGGGUGAGUAACACGUGGGCAACCUACCUUAUAGUUUGGGAUAACUCCGGGAAACCGGGGCUAAUACCGAAUAAUCUGUUUCACCUCAUGGUGAAAUAUUGAAAGACGGUUUCGGCUGUCGCUAUAGGAUGGGCCCGCGGCGCAUUAGCUAGUUGGUGAGGUAACGGCUCACCAAGGCGACGAUGCGUAGCCGAC